rnacentral:rRNA from 1 species
AUUGAACGCUGGCGGCAUGCUUUACACAUGCAAGUCGAACGGCAGCACAGGGAGCUUGCUCCUGGGUGGCGAGUGGCGAACGGGUGAGUAAUGUAUCGGAACGUGCCUGGUAGUGGGGGAUAACUACUCGAAAGAGUGGCUAAUACCGCAUGAGAUCUUUGGAUGAAAGCGGGGGACCUUCGGACCUCGUGCUACUGGAGCGGCCGGUAUCAGAUUAGGUAGUUGGUGGGGUAAAGGCCUACCAAGCCUGCGAUCUGUAGCUGGUCUGAGAGGACGACCAGCCACACUGGGACUGAGACACGGCCCAGACUCCUACGGGAGGCAGCAGUGGGGAAUCUUGGACAAUGGGCGCAAGCCUGAUCCAGCAAUGCCGCGUGCAGGACGAAGGCCUUCGGGUUGUAAACUGCUUUUGUACAGAACGAAAAGUCUCUGGCUAAUAUCUAGAGAUCAUGACGGUACUGUAAGAAUAAGCACCGGCUAACUACGUG